UAACACCUGGAAACAGAUGCUAAUACCGGAUAACAACAGAUGAUGCCUAUCAACUGUUUAAAAGAUGGUUCUGCUAUCACUCUUGGAUGGACCUGCGGUGCAUUAGCUAGUUGGUAGGGUAACGGCCUACCAAGGCGAUGAUGCAUAGCCGAGUUGAGAGACUGAUCGGUCACAUUGGGACUGAGACACGGCCCAAACUCCUACGGGAGGCAGCAGCA
rnacentral:rRNA from 1 species